rnacentral:lncRNA from 1 species
GUCGCUGAGGCAGGUGGCGGUGGGCAAGGCGUUCCCACCGGUGGUUUAUUCACUGGAGGAGUCACGACCGGAGGGACGGUGAUCGGUGGCUUAAUAAUGGGAGGGACUGUGAUGGGAGGGACUGUAACGGGAGGUUUAACAAUGGGAGGGACAGUGAUGGGAGGGACUGUAAUGGGAGGUUUAACAAUGGGAGGAACAGUGAUGGGAGGGACUGUAAUGGGAGGUUUAACAAUGGGAGGGACAGUGAUGGGAGGGACUGUAAUGGGAGGUUUAACAAUGGGAGGGACAACCGGUGGCAGGGUGAUAGGAGGCUUAACAAUGGGAGGGACAACCGGUGGCACGGUGAUAGGAGGCUUAACAAUGGGAGGACGAGUAAUGGGGGGCUUUCCUUUGGGUGGCUUGUGGUGGGAAGGGGGCUUGUGGUGGAAAGGGGGCUUGUGCUGGGGAGGGGGCUUGGAACAAGGGGCACAGCCAAGAAUAGGGGUGGCUGAGGAGAUGAAGAGCGUGAAAAUGAGGAACAGAGCUGAAAGCUUGGAGGAGUCCAUGAUGGUGUUUAGGACUUGGUAAAAUUUGGGAAGAUGGGUGAGUAGUUAUAUAGAGUGAGUGAGGAGUGCAAAAAUACAAAGCCCCUACAAUCACUUCACGUGAACAUGGGCUACCCUCAAAAGGCAGCUGUCAAACCUUGCUAGUUGGCAACUACCAUACAAAUACUCUAAUCCAUCUCAUUUUAUUGUUAUACUCAUCUUCUUAUCACUAUGACCAUUAUCUUUGCUGCAGCACCUAGCUAACUUUUU